rnacentral:lncRNA from 1 species
UUUACUUUGAUUUCAUAAAUAAUGCAUCAUUAAUAUCUUAUCUGAGGGCAGAAACCAUAUUGGUACAACUUUCCAAAUAUUUAGUACAAAUUGGGUUUGUUGAUGAAUAAAAUGAAAUAAAAUUGUGUAUGGGAGUCAGUCCUACGUUUUCAUAGUCUUGAUACUGGCUAUGAAAGAGUGGCUACCUCACACAUAAAACUCCACUUGGCUGCUAAUUUCCAUGCCAUGACACCAGCUUAUGACACAGACCUUAGCACUAAGCCUAAAUAGUUUACCUCGGAACCUAGAUCAUAAAGGUAUAACUUGGGACAUAGGGUGGAAAAGAAUCUCUAAAAUACAGAUGCCUGGUUUUUGUGGGUUUUCUCAAUUCUGCGUAGGGGUCCAUCUUCUCCAGACUGGCUUGGAUUGCAAGAAGCUGCAUCUUCCUACAGAACUAUUGUGAUAAAAAUGUGAAACAACACGGGGUCCCAGUUCAGACCUGAAUGAGGUACCAAAGGUGAUUUUUGCACCACUGAUGCUCACUCUCCAGCACCAUACUGCAACCAGAUGCCCCAUUCACUUGACGAGGUGUGCUGCCAACAGGACUGGCAUUUUUGCUAUUGACCAACAUUAGCUGGCAUGGUUACAAGAGUCUGGACAGCCAGUUAAUCCUUAAAGAUAUGUCUUCUUUGAUUGUGUGCUAUAACAUUAUUCUUGCAAGUACUAUUUUCUAAAGGACUUCUGAAGCAAUAGAAAAAGCCGUAAAUUGCUUUCCAUUGCUAGGAAAAGUCAUGUGUCUGUUUAAGUAUACAAGCAUCUUCAGAGGGUUAUUUGUGAUUGCAACAUUUUCAGACUCAAUAGAGUCACAUAAUAAAGCAAAC